rnacentral:lncRNA from 1 species
UCUUGCCCUAUUUCAGGCUCAACUAGCACUCCUUUGUUAUGCCUAAGCAUAUGUGUCAAUGUUAGACAGGCUUCAGUAGUUUAGACUCCAUAGAGGAGGAGAAGAGGUCCUUCUAUCGCAUCAAAAGAGGGGUGCUAGGUUAAUUAACUCUGUUUCCACUUCGAAGAGGACCUUCCAGCCAUGUAGGAAUUGAUGCCUCUAUUGGUGCAGAUCUUGCUGUGACUCUUCCUUGUUAAAGCGUUAUU